rnacentral:rRNA from 1 species
GAUGAACGCUGGCGGCGUGCCUAAUACAUGCAAGUCGAGCGAACAGACGAGGCGCUUGCUCCUCUGACGUUAGCGGCGGACGGGUGAGUAACACGUGGAUAACCUACCUAUAAGACUGGGAUAACUUCGGGAAACCGGAUCUAAUACCGGAUAACAUGUUGAACCGCAUGGUUCAACGGUGAAAGACGGUUUUGCUGUCACUUAUAGAUGUAUCCGGGUCGCAUUAGCUAGUUGGUAAGGUAACGGCUUACCAAGGCAACGAUGCGUAGCCGACCUGAGAGGGUGAUCGGCCACACUGGAACUGAGACACGGUCCAGACUCCUACGGGAGGCAGCAGUAGGGAAUCUUCCGCAAUGGGCGAAAGCCUGACGGAGCAACGCCGCGUGAGUGAAGAAGGUCUUCGGAUCGUAAAACUCUGUUAUUAGGGAAGAACAAAUGUGUGAGUAACUAUGCACGUCUUGACGGUACCUAAUGAGAAAGCCACGGCUAACUACGUG